UGGGGAAUAUUGCACAAUGGGCGAAAGCCUGAUGCAGCAACGCCGCGUGAGGGACGACGGCCUUCGGGUUGUAAACCUCUUUUAGCAAGGAAGAAGCGAAAGUGACGGUACUUGCAGAAAAAGCGCCGGCUAACUACGUGCCAGCAGCCGCGGUAAUACGUAGGGCGCAAGCGUUAUCCGGAAUUAUUGGGCGUAAAGAGCUCGUAGGCGGUUUGUCGCGUCUGCUGUGAAAACCCGAGGCUCAACCUCGGGCCUGCAGUGGGUACGGGCAGACUAGAGUGCGGUAGGGGAGAUUGGAACUCCUGGUGUAGCGGUGGAAUGCGCAGAUAUCAGGAAGAACACCGAUGGCGAAGGCAGAUCUCUGGGCCGUAACUGACGCUGAGGAGCGAAAGGGUGGGGAGCAAACAGGCUUAGAUACCCUGGUAGUCCACCCCGUAACGUUGGGAACUAGUUGUGGGGUCCAUUCCACGGAUUCCGUGACGCAGCUAACGCAUUAAGUUCCCCGCCUGGGGAGUACGGCCGCAAGGCUAAACUU
rnacentral:rRNA from 1 species